AUGCUCUUAAAUCAACUGAGAGAAAUCACAGGCAUUCAAGAUCCAUCCUUCCUUCAUGAAGCGUUAAAGGCCAGUAAUGGUGACAUCACCCAGGCAGUCAGCCUGCUUACGGAUGAAAGAGUUAAGGAGCCCACUCAAGACGCUGUUGCCGCUGAACCAUCUGAGGUAGAGGGGAGUGCCGCCAACAAAGAAGUGUUAGCAAGUAGGUAUCUCCUGUCCUGGUGCUUCUUGAAACUAGCUGAAUAAUAAGAGUGAGAGCCGGGUGUGGUGGCGCACCUCUGUAAUCCCAGCACUCGGGAGGCUGAGGUAGGAGGAUCAUUGCGAGUUCGAGACCAGCCUGGGCUGCAAAGUGAGCUCAAGACCAGCCUGAACUGCAUAGUGAGACCCUGUCUCAAAAAGACGAAAAAAAAAGGAACGAGUACAUAUGAGUUCCUGUCAAUCAGAUCAACCCUUUGAAUAGCAAGUAUUGAGCCAUUACUAGGUCCAGGCACAAUUCCAAUCUCUUCAGUGUAUUCUCAUUCACUCAUUCUGUAGCAUUUAUUCAGUGAGCACCAACUAUGUGUCAGAAUACUUUUGAAUACCAGCCUUUGUGUAGCUCCAUGCUUCAGUUGAAGGAGAUCAAACAGAUUAUAAUAUGUUCUAAUAGCAUAUUAGAACAUGAAAAAUAGCGUAGAAAAAAAUACGGGGCUGAAUGAAAGAAGUGGAAAAGGGAGGCCUGGAAUUUCAAGUAGACUGGGCCUUUUAAGAAAGUACCAGGCAGGAUUGGGGAGAGUCAACAGAGGACCUAUGGUGGGAGCUUAUCCACCUUGCUUAAAGAGACCAGAGCUGAGGCUGGGUGAGUGAGGAGGGCUCUGAGGAUCAUAGUGGCACCAGGCACCAUAGUGCACCAUACAUACAUCCCAGCACUUGAGAAGCUGAGGCAGGAGCAUCUCGUUAGGAGUUCGAGACCAGCCUGGGUUACAAAGUGAGCUCAGGGCCAGCCUGAACUGCAUGGUGAGACCCUGUCUCAAAAAGACAAAAAAAAAAAAAAAAAAAAAAAAAAGAAUCCUGGUGGGAGCAGGAGGCAGUAGAAGGUGCUUAGAGAGGAAUGUUGUUAGGGAAAGGGAGAAGUUAAAGAUGACUCUACAUUUUCUCUAAGCACCUUGUUGUAGUCAGGGUUUACAAGGAAAACAAUAACAAUACAGGACACAAUAUAUAGGAUUAUUUUAUAGUAGUUACCCAAAGAGUUUAGUACAAAAGAGUGCAGGAGCCAGGCGUGGUGGCGCACGCCUGUAAUCCCAGCACUCGGGAGGCUGAGGCAGGAGGAUUAUUGUGAGUUUGAGGCCAGCCUAGGCUACAAAGUGAGCUCAGCGCUAGCCUGAACUGUAUAGCAAGACCCUGUUUCAAAAAGCCAAAAAAAAAAUAAAAGAGUGCAGGAAAUCUGUCCACACGCCAAGACCCAAGGAAUCCAGCUGAGGGCCUGGAUCCCACGGCACUGUCCUGCACGAGUCCAGCUGCAGACCUAGAGCCCAUGGCAGUGCCCCCUGCCCCGAGUCCAACUGGAGGCCAAGAGCCCACGACAGUGCCUCAUACCUGCCUGUGUCAAGGAUCUGCACUAAGAACCCAAGGUCAGUGGUGGAGGCUGGAAAGUCUGUGCCAAUGGGAUGAGGGAUCUGUGGUAGCAGGCUGAGGGAUCUGCACUGGGGCCAAGAAGCGACACUGAAGAACCAGAGCUCCCGGGAAAAUUACCACAGCCAUCCUCAGCAACAGUGAGGCCCUGAGCUCCUCCGACUAGAACAGCUGAGUUCCCAUCAGGAAAGCCAGCGUGACAAGCUUCUCCAGGAGAGGGAACAGUGCACCAUCUUCUCCCCCUAGAGCCGGGAAGCGUUGCUCAAAGUAAGGACCAGAGCUCCCCCAAAGUGAACUGUAGCCAUUCUCAGCAGCAAGGUCCUGAGCUCCUUCGAUGAGAACAGCUGAGUUCCUGUCAGGAAAGCCAGCAUGACAAGCUCCUCCAGGAGAACCAACGGCCCCCCACCCAACUACGUCUCUUCUUUCUCUCCAGUUUUCCUUUUUACUUUGUUGGCAACAGUCUCAGGUGGGCCUGCCACACCCAGCACCACCUGAUUCAGUUCAACUGGGUGUUACAAGUUGACCACCAGUUGUCAAUCCACCACACAUCUGAAAGGAUGGAGUUGCAUUUAGCAGAGGUGGAAUAUCUGUAGGUGGGGAAGGUUUAGGAUGGAGGACAAAGAGAUUGGGUUUUUUUUUUUUUUUGUCUUUUUGAGACAGGAUCUCCUCUAUGCAGUUCAGGCCGAUCUUGAGCUCACUUUAUAGUCCAAGUUGGUCUCGAACUUGCAGUGAUCCUCCUGCCUCAGCCGCCCUAUUACAGGCAAAGAGAUUGGUUUUAUAAUGGUAAGUUUGUGUUUUUUUUGUG
rnacentral:lncRNA from 1 species